rnacentral:lncRNA from 1 species
AAAAAAAAACGGGGGGUAAAAAAAAAAAAAACCCGGUUUUAAACCCCCCCCCGGUUAAAAAAAAAAAAAAAACCCGGGGGGGGGGGUAAAAAAAAAAAAAAAAAAAAACCCGGGGGUAAAAAAAAAAAAAAAAAAAAAAAAAAAAAAACCCCGGGGGGGGGGUAAAAAAAAACCGGGGGGGGGGGGGGGGGUUAAAAAAAAAAAAAA